rnacentral:rRNA from 1 species
GCCAGAGGGGGCAAGCGUUGCUCGGAAUUACUGGGCGUAAAGGGCGCGUAGGCGGGAUGGCAAGUCGGUCGUGAAAUCCCUCGGCUCAACUGAGGAGCGUCGAUCGAAACUGCCGUUCUUGAGGGUUGCAGAGGAGACUGGAAUUCCCGGUGUAGCGGUGAAAUGUGUAGAGAUCGGGAGGAACACCGGUGGCGAAGGCGGGUCUCUGGGCAACUCCUGACGCUGAGGCGCGAAAGCGUGGGGAGCAAACGGG